rnacentral:lncRNA from 1 species
GAAAACGCCCUUCAGAGCAAUGGCUGGCAGGAUCUACGCGGUUUAUGUAGCAUGGAUGGAAACUGCUCUUUGGAGAGGAGGGAUGCUAGGACAACCUCGAGAUCAAGAUGUGGAAUUCUCUGCUCCUUCUCGAGCACCAAGUCUACCUGUGUGCCACCAUGCUUGAACCAUGAUGAUAAUGUGUUGCAGUAAAUAUUAAAAAAGAAGGUUUGUAGUCUCCCUCAUCCUUGAAGCAGGCUGAUCCAGACUUUGACCUUGCUGCCACUAAAAAGGAGAUUACCUAGGGUUGAGCCUUCUGACCUUGAUGGCUCUAUUUGCUCUUCUCCAAGACUCUGCUUCCUGCUGAAAGGUCCUUGAGACAUUCCGGAGACACACCCUGUAGAUCACCUACUGGCUGGCUCAAGGCACCAAGAAUGGGCUGGUGGGAAAUGGACCUACCCUCUUUAUAAGCACAGAUUCUCAGUAAACUUCGGAGCCCUUGAACAGAAACAUGUCUUGGCCUCCAUUUUUUCUCUCGUCAUUUCCUUCCAUAAAGCUCUGGCCUCCCACUCAGGAACUCAGUUAGUGUGGCCGGAGGUGGCUACAGGA